rnacentral:rRNA from 1 species
CCUUCGGGAGGCAGCAGUGAGGAAUAUUGGUCAAUGGGCUUACGCCUGAACCAGCCAAGUCGCGUGAGGGAAGACUGCUCUAUGGGUUGUAAACCUCUUUUGUCAGGGAGCAAUUGGCGCUACGUGUAGCGUUAUCGAGAGUACCUGAAGAAAAAGCAUCGGCUAACUCCGUGCCAGCAGCCGCGGUAAUAUGGAGGAUGCGAGGGUUAUCCGGUUUUAUUGGGUUUAAAGGGUGCUGAGGCGGAAUGCCAAGUCAGCGGUAAAAUCGCGGGGCUCAACCUCGCUCCGCCGUUGAAACUGUCGUUCUUGAGUGGGCGAGAAGUAUGCGGAAUGCGGGGUGUAGCGGUGAAAUGCAUAGAUAUCACGCAGAACACCGAUUGCGAAGGCAGCAUACCGGCGCCCAACUGACGCUGAAGCACGAAAGCGUGGGUAUCGAACAGGAUUAGAUACCCGAGUAGUC